AGUGAACGCUGGCGGUAGGCCUAACACAUGCAAGUCGAAUGGCAGCACAGGAGAGCUUGCUCUCUGGGUGGCGAGUGGCGGACGGGUGAGGAAUACAUCGGAAUCUACCUUUUCGUGGGGGAUAACGUAGGGAAACUUACGCUAAUACCGCAUACGACCUACGGGUGAAAGUGGGGGACCGCAAGGCCUCACGCGAUUAG
rnacentral:rRNA from 1 species